CAGUCGCCACGGUAAUACGUAGGUGGCAAGCGUUGUCCGGAAUUAUUUGGCGUAAAGCGCGCGCAGGUGGUUUAAUAAGUCUGAUGUGAAAGCCCACGGCUCAACCGUGGAGGGUCAUUAGAAACUGUUAAACUUGAGUGCAGGAGAGAAAAGUGGAAUUCCUAGUGUAGCGGUGAAAUGCGUAGAGAUUAGGAGGAACACCAGUGGCGAAGGCGGCUUUUUGGCCUGUAACUGACACUGAGGCGCGAAAGCGUGGGGAGCAAACAGGAUUAGAUACCCGUGUAGUCCCUGUCUCUUAUAC
rnacentral:rRNA from 1 species